rnacentral:rRNA from 1 species
GGGUUGUGAGGUUAAGCGACUAAGCGUACACGGUGGAUGCCCUGGCAGUCAGAGGCGAUGAAGGACGUGCUAAUCUGCGAUAAGCGUCGGUAAGGUGAUAUGAACCGUUAUAACCGGCGAUUUCCGAAUGGGGAAACCCAGUGUGAUUCGUCACACUAUCAUUAACUGAAUCCAUAGGUUAAUGAGGCGAACCGGGGGAACUGAAACAUCUAAGUACCCCGAGGAAAAGAAAUCAACCGAGAUUCCCCCAGUAGCGGCGAGCGAACGGGGAGCAGCCCAGAGCCUGAAUCAGUGUGUGUGUUAGUGGAAGCGUCUGGAAAGGCGCGCGAUACAGGGUGACAGCCCCGUACACAAAAAUGCACAUACUGUGAGCUCGAUGAGUAGGGCGGGACACGUGGUAUCCUGUCUGAAUAUGGGGGGACCAUCCUCCAAGGCUAAAUACUCCUGACUGACCGAUAGUGAACCAGUACCGUGAGGGAAAGGCGAAAAGAACCCCGGCGAGGGGAGUGAAAAAGAACCUGAAACCGUGUACGUACAAGCAGUGGGAGCACAGAGCAAUCUGUGUGACUGCGUACCUUUUGUAUAAUGGGUCAGCGACUUAUAUUCUGUAGCAAGGUUAACCGAAUAGGGGAGCCGAAGGGAAACCGAGUCUUAACUGGGCGUUAAGUUGCAGGGUAUAGACCCGAAACCCGGUGAUCUAGCCAUGGGCAGGUUGAAGGUUGGGUAACACUAACUGGAGGACCGAACCGACUAAUGUUGAAAAAUUAGCGGAUGACUUGUGGCUGGGGGUGAAAGGCCAAUCAAACCGGGAGAUAGCUGGUUCUCCCCGAAAGCUAUUUAGGUAGCGCCUCGUGAAUUCAUCUCCGGGGGUAGAGCACUGUUUCGGCAAGGGGGUCAUCCCGACUUACCAACCCGAUGCAAACUGCGAAUACCGGAGAAUGUUAUCACGGGAGACACACGGCGGGUGCUAACGUCCGUCGUGAAGAGGGAAACAACCCAGACCGCCAGCUAAGGUCCCAAAGUCAUGGUUAAGUGGGAAACGAUGUGGGAAGGCCCAGACAGCCAGGAUGUUGGCUUAGAAGCAGCCAUCAUUUAAAGAAAGCGUAAUAGCUCACUGGUCGAGUCGGCCUGCGCGGAAGAUGUAACGGGGCUAAACCAUGCACCGAAGCUGCGGCAGCGACGCUUAUGCGUUGUUGGGUAGGGGAGCGUUCUGUAAGCCUGUGAAGGUGUGCUGUGAGGCAUGCUGGAGGUAUCAGAAGUGCGAAUGCUGACAUAAGUAACGAUAAAGCGGGUGAAAAGCCCGCUCGCCGGAAGACCAAGGGUUCCUGUCCAACGUUAAUCGGGGCAGGGUGAGUCGACCCCUAAGGCGAGGCCGAAAGGCGUAGUCGAUGGGAAACAGGUUAAUAUUCCUGUACUUGGUGUUACUGCGAAGGGGGGACGGAGAAGGCUAUGUUGGCCGGGCGACGGUUGUCCCGGUUUAAGCGUGUAGGCUGGUUUUCCAGGCAAAUCCGGAAAAUCAAGGCUGAGGCGUGAUGACGAGGCACUACGGUGCUGAAGCAACAAAUGCCCUGCUUCCAGGAAAAGCCUCUAAGCAUCAGGUAACAUCAAAUCGUACCCCAAACCGACACAGGUGGUCAGGUAGAGAAUACCAAGGCGCUUGAGAGAACUCGGGUGAAGGAACUAGGCAAAAUGGUGCCGUAACUUCGGGAGAAGGCACGCUGAUAUGUAGGUGAAGUCCCUCGCGGAUGGAGCUGAAAUCAGUCGAAGAUACCAGCUGGCUGCAACUGUUUAUUAAAAACACAGCACUGUGCAAACACGAAAGUGGACGUAUACGGUGUGACGCCUGCCCGGUGCCGGAAGGUUAAUUGAUGGGGUUAGCGCAAGCGAAGCUCUUGAUCGAAGCCCCGGUAAACGGCGGCCGUAACUAUAACGGUCCUAAGGUAGCGAAAUUCCUUGUCGGGUAAGUUCCGACCUGCACGAAUGGCGUAAUGAUGGCCAGGCUGUCUCCACCCGAGACUCAGUGAAAUUGAACUCGCUGUGAAGAUGCAGUGUACCCGCGGCAAGACGGAAAGACCCCGUGAACCUUUACUAUAGCUUGACACUGAACAUUGAGCCUUGAUGUGUAGGAUAGGUGGGAGGCUUUGAAGUGUGGACGCCAGUCUGCAUGGAGCCGACCUUGAAAUACCACCCUUUAAUGUUUGAUGUUCUAACGUUGACCCGUAAUCCGGGUUGCGGACAGUGUCUGGUGGGUAGUUUGACUGGGGCGGUCUCCUCCUAAAGAGUAACGGAGGAGCACGAAGGUUGGCUAAUCCUGGUCGGACAUCAGGAGGUUAGUGCAAUGGCAUAAGCCAGCUUGACUGCGAGCGUGACGGCGCGAGCAGGUGCGAAAGCAGGUCAUAGUGAUCCGGUGGUUCUGAAUGGAAGGGCCAUCGCUCAACGGAUAAAAGGUACUCCGGGGAUAACAGGCUGAUACCGCCCAAGAGUUCAUAUCGACGGCGGUGUUUGGCACCUCGAUGUCGGCUCAUCACAUCCUGGGGCUGAAGUAGGUCCCAAGGGUAUGGCUGUUCGCCAUUUAAAGUGGUACGCGAGCUGGGUUUAGAACGUCGUGAGACAGUUCGGUCCCUAUCUGCCGUGGGCGCUGGAGAACUGAGGGGGGCUGCUCCUAGUACGAGAGGACCGGAGUGGACGCAUCACUGGUGUUCGGGUUGUCAUGCCAAUGGCACUGCCCGGUAGCUAAAUGCGGAAGAGAUAAGUGCUGAAAGCAUCUAAGCACGAAACUUGCCCCGAGAUGAGUUCUCCCUGACCCUUUAAGGGUCCUGAAGGAACGUUGAAGACGACGACGUUGAUAGGCCGGGUGUGUAAGCGCAGCGAUGCGUUGAGCUAACCGGUACUAAUGAACCGUGAGGCUUAACCUUACAACGCCGAAG